AUUGAACGCUGGCGGCAUGCCUUACACAUGCAAGUCGAACGGCAGCACGGGAGCAAUCCUGGUGGCGAGUGGCGAACGGGUGAGUAAUGCAUCGGAACGUGCCAUUGAGUGGGGGAUAACGUAGCGAAAGUUACGCUAAUACCGCAUAUUCUGUGCGCAGGAAAGCAGGGGAUCGCAAGACCUUGCGCUCUUUGAGCGGCCGAUGUCAGAUUAGCUAGUUGGUGAGGUAAAGGCUCACCAAGGCGACGAUCUGUAGCGGGUCUGAGAGGAUGAUCCGCCACACUGGGACUGAGACACGGCCCAGACUCCUACGGGAGGCAGCAGUGGGGAAUUUUGGACAAUGGGCGAAAGCCUGAUCCAGCCAUGCCGCGUGCGGGAAGAAGGC
rnacentral:rRNA from 1 species